UACGUAGGGCGCAAGCGUUAUCCGGAAUUAUUGGGCGUAAAGAGCUCGUAGGCGGUUUGUCGCGUCUGCCGUGAAAGUCCGGGGCUCAACUCCGGAUCUGCGGUGGGUACGGGCAGACUAGAGUGAUGUAGGGGGAGACUGGAAUUCCUGGUGUAGCGGUGAAAAUGCGCAGAUAUCAGGAAGAACACCGAUGGCGAAGGCAGCUCUCUGGGACGGUACUGACGCUGAGACGCGAAAGCGUGGGGGAGCGAACAGG
rnacentral:rRNA from 1 species